GUCGCUUCUCGGCCUUUUGGCUAAGAUCAAGUGUAGUAUGUGUUGGAGUGAUUUGGCUUAGAGUGACUUGGCAUAGCAUCCAAAUGCAGGUUCAUGGUUUGUCACGAAAAGCCAAGAACAAACCUUGG